rnacentral:rRNA from 1 species
AGUGAACGCUGGCGGUAGGCCUAACACAUGCAAGUCGAACGGCAGCACAGUAAGAGCUUGCUCUUACGGGUGGCGAGUGGCGGACGGGUGAGGAAUACAUCGGAAUCUACUUUUUCGUGGGGGAUAACGUAGGGAAACUUACGCUAAUACCGCAUACGACCUACGGGUGAAAGCAGGGGAUCUUCGGACCUUGCGCGAUUGAAUGAGCCGAUGUCGGAUUAGCUAGUUGGCGGGGUAAAGGCCCACCAAGGCGACGAUCCGUAGCUGGUCUGAGAGGAUGAACAGCAACACUGGAACUGGGAGACGUUCCAGAAUCCUACGGGAGGCAGCAGUGGGAAAUAUUGGACUAUGGGCGCAAGCCUGAUGCAGCAAUCCCGAGUGGGUGAAGAAGGACUUCGGGUUGUAAAGCCCUUUUGUUGGGAAAGAAAAGCAGCAGGUUAAUACCCCGCUGUUCUGACGGUACCCAAAGAAUAAGCACCGGCUAACUUCGU